CUUAGAUAUCACGAAGAACUCCGAUUGCGAAGGCAGCCUGCUGGACUGUAACUGACGCUGAUGCUCGAAAGUGUGGGUAUCAAACAGGAUUAGAUACCCUGGUAGUCCACACAGUAAACGAUGAAUACUCGCUGUUUGCGAUAUACAGUAAGCGGCCAAGCGAAAGCGUUAAGUAUUCCACCUGGGGAGUACGCCGGCAACGGUGAAACUCAAAGGAAUUGACGGGGGCCCGCACAAGCGGAGGAACAUGUGGUUUAAUUCGAUGAUACGCGAGGAACCUUACCCGGGCUUGAAUUGCAACUGAAUGAUGUGGAGACAUGUCAGCCGCAAGGCAGUUGUGAAGGUGCUGCAUGGUUGUCGUCAGCUCGUGCCGUGAGGUGUCGGCUUAAGUGCCAUAACGAGCGCAACCCUUAUCGAUAGUUACCAUCAGGUUAUGCUGGGGACUCUGUCGAGACUGCCGUCGUAAGAUGUGAGGAAGGUGGGGAUGACGUCAAAUCAGCACGGCCCUUACGUCCGGGGCUACACACGUGUUACAAUGGGGGGUACAGAAGGCAGCUACACGGCGACGUGAUGCUAAUCCCUAAAGCCUCUCUCAGUUCGGAUUGGAGUCUGCAACCCGACUCCAUGAAGCUGGAUUCGCUAGUAAUCGCGCAUCAGCCACGGCGCGGUGAAUACGUUCCCGGGCCUUGUACACACCGCCCGUCAAGCCAUGAAAGCCGGGGGUACCUGAAGUGCGUAACCGCAAGGAGCGCCCUAGGGUAAAACUGGUGAUUG
rnacentral:rRNA from 1 species